AUUGAACGCUGGCGGCAUGCCUUACACAUGCAAGUCGAACGGCAGCGCGGACUUCGGUCUGGCGGCGAGUGGCGAACGGGUGAGUAAUGUAUCGGAACGUACCAUUCAGUGGGGGAUAACGCAGCGAAAGUUGCGCUAAUACCGCAUAUUCUGUGCGCAGGAAAGCAGGGGAUCGCAAGACCUUGCGCUGAUUGAGCGGCCGAUAUAAGAUUAGCUAGUUGGUGAGGUAAAGGCUCACCAAGGCGACGAUCUGUAGCGGGUCUGAGAGGAUGAUCCGCCACACUGGAACUGAAACACGGUCCAGACUCCUACGGGAGGCAGCAGUGGGGAAUUUUGGACAAUGGGCGCAAGCCUGAUCCAGCCAUGCCGCGUGAGUGAAGAAGGCCUUCGGGUUGUAAAGCUCUUUCGGCCGGGAAGAAAUCGUAUGGGUUAAUACCCUGUGCGGAUGACGGUACCGGCAUAAGAAGCACCGGCUAACUACGUGCCAGCCGCCGCGGUAAAAC
rnacentral:rRNA from 1 species